rnacentral:rRNA from 1 species
GAAACCGAGUCUUAACUGGGCGUUAAGUUGCAGGGUAUAGACCCGAAACCCGGUGAUCUAGCCAUGGGCAGGUUGAAGGUUGGGUAACACUAACUGGAGGACCGAACCGACUAAUGUUGAAAAAUUAGCGGAUGACUUGUGGCUGGGGGUGAAAGGCCAAUCAAACCGGGAGAUAGCUGGUUCUCCCCGAAAGCUAUUUAGGUAGCGCCUCGUGAACUCAUCUUCGGGGGUAGAGCACUGUUUCGGCUAGGGGGUCAUCCCGACUUACCAACCCGAUGCAAACUGCGAAUACCGAAGAAUGUUAUCACGGGAGACACACGGCGGGUGCUAACGUCCGUCGUGAAGAGGGAAACAACCCAGACCGCCAGCUAAGGUCCCAAAGUCACAGUUAAGUGGGAAACGAUGUGGGAAGGCUCAGACAGCCAGGAUGUUGGCUUAGAAGCAGCCAUCAUUUAAAGAAAGCGUAAUAGCUCACUGGUCGAGUCGGCCUGCGCGGAAGAUGUAACGGGGCUAAACUGUGCACCGAAGCUGCGGCAGCGACGCUUAUGCGUUGUUGGGUAGGGGAGCGUUCUGUAAGCCUGCGAAGGUGUCCUGUGAGGGAUGCUGGAGGUAUCAGAAGUGCGAAUGCUGACAUAAGUAACGAUAA